GUGCCAGCCGCCGCGGUAAUACGGAGGGUGCAAGCGUUAUUCGGAAUUACUGGGCGUAAAGCGCGUGCAGGCGGUUAGACAAGUCUGAUGUGAAAGCCCCGGGCUUAACCUGGGAAGUGCAUUGGAAACUGUUUGACUUGAGUAUCGGAGAGGAAGGGAGAAUUCCCGGUGUAGAGGUGAAAUUCGUAGAGAUCGGGAGGAACACCAGUGGCGAAGGCGCCCUUCUGGACGAUAACUGACGCUGAGACGCGAAAGCGUGGGGAGCAAACAGGAUUAGAAACCCCGGUAGUCC
rnacentral:rRNA from 1 species